CCUGACCAGAGGUGCGAUUGUGUAAAGUUGUUCAUGGAUGGACAAUGAAUACAAUUGAUCAUCGAUCGUAUAUCUAAAUUCGAAUUGUGUAAUUUUGUCCAUUCCAUGAAGACCGAAAAGUGACCGGUCGUAUAUAAUCGUUUCAUGGAUUUGCGUUUUAUUAAUGAAAAACAUUCGCUAAAACUCAUUAUUUUUUAACAAAUAACAAAUGAAAUCCAUGUUCAAAUGCAGUUUUUUUUAAUAACAUUUUAUGAUUGCACCUUAAUAACAUACUUUUAUUCAUAAAAACAUUGAAUUCGAAUUAAAAAUUUACCUCUGCAAAUCAUAUAACCAAACGCAUAGAACGAAUGAAAUACGAGUUCCACUACCCGCCCCCAGGUGGCAUACAUACUUUAAGGCUAGGCAGGCUAAGUUGAAUACUACUCUACAAUAGGUGGCGUUAAUGGACUACGAAAAACGACGUGAAAUGCUUACUUCUUUUUAUUUAUUUAUACUUUAAUGCCAAAAUUUUAACCUAAGGCGAACUUAAUCUCACAUUUAAUAAAUUAUACAUAAAUAAGUGUUUUGAGAAGUAGUAUUUUAAUCUAUGUUCUGUGAAUGACAAGUGUUAUCUGUCAAGUGUCAAAAAACUUGAAAAACUUUUACGAAGUUUUUGAAUUAUGUUAAAUUUGUUUAUAAACACAAUGCCAAAGGCAAGAAUAAUUGCCCACGCCAGAUGGAGACCCAGCUAAAUAAUGUAGUAACAGCGCGUGUUCGUGUGAUGAGGGUUCCUUGACUUGAGUUCUGGCGCAACACGUCCUGGGCACUAAACAAGAUUGGGGAUGGGACGUCUAAAUUGGUGCAAGCCUGGAAAACGCUCUCGUCUUGCUCUACAGCACUUGCACUUGUCCCACCAUCUACCAGUGUUGGAACUCUUCCAAUAAUUACCCACACCCAGGUGGAGAAUACUCCAGUUACUGCUACUGCUACUCUAAAAUAUCUCUCAUCUUGUUCUACAGCGCCUGCACCUGUCCUACCAUCUACCAGUGUUGGAACUCUUCGAAGUGUAUUAAUGAUUAUUAUUUUAGUAACCAUAAAAGUUUAAAACAAUACAUUUUAAUGCAUAAUUAUUUGUUAGAAAAAACGACAAGUACAAAUGAGUAGGGAGGCUGUUGAUUUUUCAUGGUUAUUUUAUAUCUUGUUGAUUGUUCCAAAAAAAAACUAAGUUUUCAAGAAUGCUGU